AGUGAACGCUGGCGGUAGGCCUAACACAUGCAAGUCGAACGGCAGCACAGUAAGAGCUUGCCCUUACGGGUGGCGAGUGGCGGACGGGUGAGGAAUACAUCGGAAUCUACUUUUUCGUGGGGGAUAACGGAGGGAAACUUACGCUAAUACCGCAUACGACCUACGGGUGAAAGCAGGGGAUCUUCGGACCUUGCGCGAUUGAAUGAGCCGAUGUCGGAUUAGCUAGUUGGCGGGGUAAAGGCCCACCAAGGCGACGAUCCGUAGCUGGUCUGAGAGGAUGAUCAGCCACACUGGAACUGAGACACGGUCCAGACUCCUACGGGAGGCAGCAGUGGGGAAUAUUGGACAAUGGGCGCAAGCCUGAUCCAGCCAUACCGCGUGGGUGAAGAAGGCCUUCGGGUUGUAAAGCCCUUUUGUUGGGAAAGAAAAGCAGCAGGUUAAUACCCCGCUGUUCUGACGGUACCCAAAGAAUAAGCACCGGCUAACUUCGUG
rnacentral:rRNA from 1 species